UACGUAGGGUGCAAGCGUUAAUCGGAAUUACUGGGCGUAAAGCGCACGUAGGCGGAUUUGUAAGUCAGGGGUGAAAUCCCGGGGCUCAACCUCGGAACUGCCUUUGAUACUGCAAAUCUCGAGUCCGGAAGAGGUGAGUGGAAUUCCUAGUGUAGAGGUGAAAUUCGUAGAUAUCGGGAGGAACGCCGGUGGCGAAAGCGACGUGCUGGACCCCUUCUGACGCUGAGGCACGAAAGCCAGGGGAGCGAACGGG
rnacentral:rRNA from 1 species